rnacentral:rRNA from 1 species
ACUAGUAGAGCAGGCGCACGGGUGCGUAAACACGUGGGUAAUCUGCCUAGAAGCCUGGGAAUAACCAGUCGAAAGAUUGGCUAAUACCAAGAUAAGCCCACGGGGACUUCGGUCCUCGAAGGGAACAAGGUGGCCUCAAUGUAUACAAGCUAUCACUUCUAGAUGAAGCCCCCGCGGCACCAUCAGCUAGUUGGCAGGGGUAAUGGCCACACCAAGGCAACGACGGGUAGCUGGUCUGAGAGGACGAUCAGCCACACUGGAACUGAGAACACGGUCCAGACUCCUACGGGAGGCAGCAGUGGGGAAUUUUGCGCAAUAGGAGCGAAAGCCUGACGCAGCAACGCCGCGUGUGUGAUGAAGGUCUUCGGAUUGUAAAGCACUUAUCGACCCGGGAACGAAAACCCAUGAAGCUCAACAUCUUCAGGUUUGACGGUACCGGGAGAAGAAGCACCGGCUAAACUCUGUGCCAGCAGAACCGCGGUAAUACAGAGGGUGCAAGCGUUGUUCGGAAUUAUUGGGCGUAAAGCGCGUGUAGGCGGCUUAUGCAAGUCGGGUGUGAAAGCCCUCAGCUCAACUGAGGAAGUGCGCCCGAAACUGCAGAGCUUGCAGUGCCGGAGAGGGAUCGAGCGGAAUUCCCCAAGUAGAGGUGAAAUUCGUAGAUAUGGGGAGGAACACCGGUGGCGAAGGCGGCCACCUGGACGGUAACUGACGCUGAGAACGCGAAAGCGUGGGGAGCAAACAGGAUUAGAUACCACUGCGUAGUCCACGCACGUAAAACGAUGAGAACUAGGUGUCGUGGGAGUUGACCCCACGCGGUGCCGUAGCUAACGCAUUAAGUUCUCCGACCUGGGAAGUACGGUCGAACAAGACUAAAACUCAAAGGAAUUGACGGGGGAACCCCGCACAAGCGGUCGGAAGCAUGUGGUUUAAUUCGACGCAACGCGCAGAACCUUAC